ACGCUCGACACCUACGGGAGGUAGCAGUCGGGAAUAUUGCGCAAUGGAGGAAACUCUGACGCAGUGACGCCGCGUGCAGGAAGAAGGUUUUCGGAUUGUAAACUGCUUUAGACAGGGAAGAAAAAGGACAGUACCUGUAGAAUAAGCUCCGGCUAACUACGUGCCAACAGCCGCGGUAAUCUGAGCGGGCUGGCAAGGC
rnacentral:rRNA from 1 species